CACCAUUCUGUAAAUGUAGCAAACGAUUCGAUUAGUCGAUUGUCAAUCGCGAUUCCUAAUUCCUAUUCCAUCGAUUUGUAUCGUUAUGCGAGGAAGAAACGAAGCGCAAUUGGCGAUAUACGUUUUAAAGAGGAUACACCAUCUUGAAGAUCGAUUCUGUGAGAACUGGUGUCAAGUGCUUCGAUGAUGCGUUCCCGUCACGUCCGUAUGAACACGUGUACGUACAGUGAUGAGAAAAGUAUUUGACUCGCAGAAGUAUUUAAACGUUUCUCGUAGAAAGUUUUUCUAAAUAUAUUACGCAUAUACCUACAACAUACGAAACUUUUCGAAAUUUUAUAACGAAUCACAAGUAUCGUAAUCACGGUGAUAGAAUUUGAAAGCAGUCUAAAAAUUUACAUAGGAGUUACAAGAUAUUUGCUGUAAGCAUAUAGUUUGUAAAAAUGUAAUAUAAUUUAAAUACAUUAAAAAUGAUAAUAAUAAUAUAGUAGAUACGUGGCUGUUUAAAUAAUAGCUUUAGCGAAACGCAUGUUUGCAAGAAAUAUCUCGUAACUUUUUCAAACUUGUUUCAAACUUUAUCGAUGAUCUCGUGUCAUGCAAAAUCUUUUCCAUAACAUACAUAACAUAUUCCAACAGUUUCUACGAGUGUUCGAAUACUUUCAUGAGUCAUCGUAUGUGAGUGUAUGUAUGUUAAUGUUAGGUCCAUGGGAUUCACACGACUCUACGCGACCAACGCUUGAAACGUAUCCUUGUUCUAUCGAUAAACGAUCAAACGACUAAUAAACUUUCUCGUUCGGCGUUCUCAGAUCGAACAAAUUGUUUUCAUUAUCCGUUUGCUAAUAAAAUACAACGAUAAAUUAUGUAGAUCGUGUAGAAUCGAAGUGUCGCGACGAGAAAAUGUUGUUUCGCGUUGGUUUACCGAUCGCGGUUACGUCGGCGCGAUAUAGCGAACGUGUGUUACGUGUCGCGACUUCCUGUGUUCCGUGCGUCGCCAUGAAAUUGGCGUAACCGUCAGACAGUCAAUGUCGAUUGUCUCGACAAUACGAUCGAGUUCUAACAUUGUCAUUCCACGUUCUCGAAAUGAAUCCAUUUUAUGUGUUUAACGAUAACAAAGACAAACAGAGAAAAGAGAUAAAAGAGAAAUGUUAUGCGAGAAAUCGUCACGUUCACUUUUAUGCGUCGUUUUUCAGCACGAUCAACCGGGACAGUGGCGCGAAUAAAUAGCUGUAGUUGCAAAAAUGCGAGUUUAUUUAAAUGGAUAUGCGAAAUGGAUUUGGAUUUGUCCAAAGGGAUAAAUUUUGAGGAUCGGAGAGACGAUAGACUGCGUCCUCGCUGAAGCAACACCGAGUAGCUUUUUUGUUGCCUGUCGUUGCUGCAUGUUCCGAACGGAACUCAACAAAUAUCGAAUCGUAAAAUUAAUCACUUGGAGUUCUCUUUUUUUAUUUCAAAGCGAAAAUUGUUUUCAAUAAGUUGUUUGCACCCAAAUGCUUUGUAAAACAGUUGACAAACUGUACACGCUGAAGGAACGUUUGUUUCUGUUGCAACGCGUUGCUGCGUGUUUCUUACUUUUAGCCUCGGUCUUCGGCAUUACGGAAACAGGCAAGAAGCACCAAGCUUCGUCAUCAACGACAGAAACGCGAAGGAACAUGAAAGAACACCGAGCAACGACCCGUAACUUUUUCAUGCGGUAUGCAACUUGAGUAAGAAGAUCCUCGUUGUUCAAUCGCUUCAAUGAGGACGGAACUUUAGAGGAACAGGUUAGGUAAAUUUUCUGAUUAAUAUAUACUCUUUAUUUAAAAAUCAGCACACACGCAGGUAAACCUAGGUAAGAGGAAGCAUGCCGAUAUCGUUGACCGGAAACAAUCGAAGACGGUCUCCGUUUACCUUUUUCAUACGAGCGACGUUUCUUUUACUCUGUCUCGUUUGUCGUUCCUACUUUGUUUCGUCGUCCUGCAACCAUCCCAUCCUGCUUUACGGAUCGAUCAACGACCCGUUAGGACGCGUGGAACGAGCGUAUUUACUAAUAAACUUUAUUUAUUCGAACGAUUCAACUACUAUCACGAAAUAGUUAGUCUAAUUGUAAGCGUCGAGCGUUACCAGCGAACGCUAUACUCUGUUACGUUAACUCGAUACCCUUUAAAUAAAUAUAUUGAAAACUAAAACGACAAAUCCUGACGUAUUGCUAAUGCAACGUGUCGAUACUUAAAAGCGAACUUACACGCUAUAUUACCCGAUACUUGGAGAUCCCGUAAAUCUAAUAGUAGCGAUUAUUCCAAUAAA
rnacentral:lncRNA from 1 species